rnacentral:rRNA from 1 species
GAUGAACGCUGGCGGCGUGCCUAAUACAUGCAAGUCGAGCGAACAGACGAGGAGCUUGCUCCUCUGACGUUAGCGGCGGACGGGUGAGUAACACGUGGAUAACCUACCUAUAAGACUGGGAUAACUUCGGAAAACCGGAGCUAAUACCGGAUAAUAUAUUGAACCGCAUGGUUCAAUAGUGAAAGACGGUUUUGCUGUGACUUAUAGAUGGAUCCGCGUCGCAUUAGCUAGUUGGUAAGGUAACGGCUUACCAAGGCAACGAUGCGUAGCCGACCUGAGAGGGUGAUCAGCCACACUGGAACUGAGACACGGUCCAGACUCCUACGGGAGGCAGCAGUAGGGAAUCUUCCGCAAUGGGCGAAAGCCUGACGGAGCAACGCCGCGUGAGUGAUGAAGGUCUUCGGAUCGUAAAACUCUGUUAUUAGGGAAGAACAAAUGUGUAAGUAACUAUGCACGUCUUGACGGUACCUAAACAGAAAGCCACGGCUAACUACGUG